rnacentral:rRNA from 1 species
CGCAUCUGUGCAUGCAGCAUAUCAAUAAGCGGAGGAAAAGAAACUAACAAGGAUUCCCCUAGUAACGGCGAGUGAAGCGGGAAGAGCUCAAAUUUGAAAUCUUAAAGGGGUUCCCUUUACGGAUUGUAGUUUAAAGAAGUGUUUUCUGUUGAGGUUUUGGUAAAAGUUCUUUGGAAUAGGACAUCAUAGAGAGGUGAGAAUCCCGUAUUUGACCUUUACUUUCAACUUUGUGAUACACUUUCAAAGAGUCGGAUUGUUUGGGAAUGCAGUCCAAAAUGGGUGGUAAAUUUCAUCUAAAGCUAAAUAUUGGCGAGAGACCGAUAGCGAACAAGUACCGUGAGGGAAAGAUGAAAAGAACUUUGAAAGAGAGUUAAACAGUACGUGAAAUUGUCAAAAGGGAAGCGUUUGACACCAGUGUUGUUUUUCUGAAAAUCAAUUAAAGAACUGUUUAUGCUAAGUUGUUUAGACUUUAUCAGCUAACUGUUUAGUUUUGAGCUUUUCUUUAAUGCACUUUUCAGUUAACAAGUCAACAUCAAUUUCUUUUGCUGUAAAAAAGCUUGAGGAAGGUGGCUUGAGAUUCGUCUUAAGUGUUUAUAGCCUCUUGCCUAUGCAGUCGGAGAGAUUGAGGUCUGCAGCGUAGAUCCUUCGGGGCUAAAUGCAUUUGUGCUAAGUUAUAGCAUUUUAUAGACAACUUGUUGACUAUGAUUUGUCUUGUAGCUUACUCGCUUAUGUUAUUUUACCUACGCUUAGGAUGUUGAACGCGCACAGAGUCUC